UAGAAAGUGGAUGUGCAGCAGAAACAGCCUGCUAAGGAACAAGUAUCUUGAUUCACUGCGAAGAGGACAAAGGAGCAGCAAGCUGUAAGGGUUGGAGGCUGGAUUGCUUUAGUUUCUUUGAGUUAUCUUCACUUGGAUUUUGUUACCUGAUAGUGUCCAGAGAGAAGCUGACUGUAGUAAGAGGUUUCCCAGUUUAUACGGGUACAGGCAUCGCUCCAUGCCCUUCUCGUCUUGCAAUUUACAUAUGGACACCAAUAGCCUAAAGGGAACAGAUGAGAGAAGAGGCCACUACAAAUGCAAACACCAGGCCCUGCUUAACUGAAUACUGGUUAAAUGGUACAGUGAUUUGUUAUUUUUUUCCUAGAAGAUGGGCCUGAGUUUUUCUGGGAAUGCUGGAGAACAGUACGAUCCUUUUAUAGCAUUUG